UGCCUAACCCUCUCAAAUUUUGUGAGGUAUGGCAAGAAAUCGUUCAGCAUACUAACCCCGUCAUAGGGCGUGCUGAACGUUGCAGACCGAAAGGUUUGUAUGCUACCGAAAGGUAGCA
rnacentral:sRNA from 12 species